AUGCUUAAGGGGAACACAAUUGAUGCGUUUUUCAAAAGAAAGAGAGGUGAUUCAACUGAAUGUGAAGUUGAUGAACCAAUAGCAACAGAAGCAAUUCCUGUUCCACCUCCUCUGUUGUUGCUCGAAUUUGAGCAACAUGGACCACAUCCUUCGAUGCCUCAACAACAAGGCCAUCAAACUCAAACAAAUGAAGUACAAUUUCGAGGGAUUGAAUUCUUGCAGCGGGAUCGAGCACUACGUCCACAGAUUUGUCAAUAUCCACCUAAUCAAAGAGAUGAUGUGCGGCGAGCAUAUUUGAAGCUUGGUAUUAUGCAGCCCCGCUUGAAGAAUUACAAAGCUUACGGUCCAGAAGGUCGCAAACGGCGCUGUAAAUAUGACUGGUUCAAGGAUUUCCCAUCAUGGUUGGAGUACUCGGAGGACAGUCAUCGUGCAUAUUGCUUCUAUUGUUUCUUGUUCAGCAACAAUAAAAACAAGCGAGGUGGUUCAGAUGUCUUUACUGUGCGAGGAUUUGUAAAUUGGAAGAAGGUCCAUGAUGGAAAGAAAUGUGCAUUCUCUACUUUGAAGAUCAUCAAGACAAGGCUACGUAAUACUAUGGAAGAUGAUUAUGUAGCCAAUAGCUUGCUAGUAAACAUAGAGAGUGAAAUUGUGGAGAAGUACAGCUAUGAAGAUGUUCUUGUGCACUUUAAGGGUGUAAAGAAACGAAGGGCUGAUCUGUAG
rnacentral:rRNA from 1 species